UACGUAGGGUGCGAGCGUUGUCCGGAAUUAUUGGGCGUAAAGGGCUCGUAGGCGGUUUGUCGCGUCGGGAGUGAAAUCCACUGGCUUAACUGGUGGCUUGCUUUCGAUACGGGCAGACUGGAGGUAUGCAGGGGAGAACGGAAUUCCUGGUGUAGCGGUGAAAUGCGCAGAUAUCUGGAGGAACACCGGUGGCGAAGGCGGCAUCCUGGACCAUUACUGACACUGAAUAGCGAAAGCCAGGGGAGCAAACGGG
rnacentral:rRNA from 1 species